CCUACGGGAGGCAGCAGUGGGGAAUAUUGGACAAUGGGGGGAACCCUGAUCCAGCGACGCCGCGUGAGUGAAGAAGUAUUUCGGUAUGUAAAGCUCUAUCAGCAGGGAAGAAAGAAAUGACGGUACCUGACUAAGAAGCCCCGGCUAACUACGUGCCAGCAGCCGCGGUAAUACGUAGGGGGCAAGCGUUAUCCGGAUUUACUGGGUGGAAAGGGGGCGUAGACGGCGAUGCAAGUCUGAAGUGAAAGGCGGGGGCCCAACCCCCGGACUGCUUUGGAAACUGUAUGGCUGGAGUGCAGGAGAGGUAAGUGGAAUUCCUAGUGUAGCGGUGAAAUGCGUAGAUAUUAGGAGGAACACCAGUGGCGAAGGCGGCUUACUGGACUGUAACUGACGUUGAGGCUCGAAAGCGUGGGGAGCAAACAGGAUUAGAUACCCCGGUAGUC
rnacentral:rRNA from 1 species